AGAGAGGUGUCCGAGUGGUUGAAGGAGCACGCCUGGAAAGUGUGUAAACGGGAAACUGUUUCGAGGGUUCGAAUCCCUUCCUCUCUGCAA
rnacentral:tRNA from 11 species